rnacentral:rRNA from 1 species
CCUACGGGAGGCAGCAGUAGGGAAUCUUCGGCAAUGGACGAAAGUCUGACCGAGCAACGCCGCGUGAGUGAAGAAGGUUUUCGGAUCGUAAAACUCUGUUGUUAGAGAAGAACAAGUGGGAGAGUAACUGUUCCCACCUUGACGGUAUCUAACCAGAAAGCCACGGCUAACUACGUGCCAGCAGCCGCGGUAAUACGUAGGUGGCAAGCGUUGUCCGGAUUUAUUGGGCGUAAAGCGAGCGCAGGCGGUUUCUAAGUCUGAUGUGAAAGCCCUCGGCUCAACCGAGGAAGGUCAUUGGAAACUGGGGAACUUGAAUGCAGAAGAGGAGAGUGGAAUUCCAUGUGUAGCGGUGAAAUGCGUAGAUAUAUGGAGGAACACCAGUGGCGAAGGCGACUCUCUGGUCUGUAAUUGACGCUGAGGCUCGAAAGCGUGGGGAGCAAACAGGAUUAGAUACCCUGGUAGUCCACGCCGUAAACGAUGAGUGCUAAGUGUUGGAGGGUUUCCGCCUUCAGUGCUGCAGUUAACGCAUUAAGCAUCGCCUGGGAAUCGGCGCAAGGC